UACGCUCGGCAUCGGGCUCAGGGACAGACU
rnacentral:sRNA from 1 species